GUCCUUUCUCGACGAACUCGGUCAGGUA
rnacentral:sRNA from 1 species